GGAGAGUUGCCAGAGCGGCUGAAUGGGGCACCCUGCUAAGGUGUUGGGCCUGAAAGGGCCUCGAGGGUUCGAAUCCCUCACUCUCCG
rnacentral:tRNA from 1 species